rnacentral:rRNA from 1 species
UUAAUCGGGGCAGGGUGAGUCGACCCCUAAGGCGAGGCCGAAAGGCGUAGUCGAUGGGAAACAGGUUAAUAUUCCUGUACUUGGUGUUACUGCGAAGGGGGGACGGAGAAGGCUAUGUUGGCCGGGCGACGGUUGUCCCGGUUUAAGCGUGUAGGCUGGUUUUCCAGGCAAAUCCGGAAAAUCAAGGCUGAGGCGUGAUGACGAGGCACUACGGUGCUGAAGCAACAAAUGCCCUGCUUCCAGGAAAAGCCUCUAAGCAUCAGGUAACAUCAAAUCGUACCCCAAACCGACACAGGUGGUCAGGUAGAGAAUACCAAGGCGCUUGAGAGAACUCGGGUGAAGGAACUAGGCAAAAUGGUGCCGUAACUUCGGGAGAAGGCACGCUGAUAUGUAGGUGAAGUCCCUUGCGGAUGGAGCUGAAAUCAGUCGAAGAUACCAGCUGGCUGCAACUGUUUAUUAAAAACACAGCACUGUGCAAACACGAAAGUGGACGUAUACGGUGUGACGCCUGCCCGGUGCCGGAAGGUUAAUUGAUGGGGUCAGCGCAAGCGAAGCUCUUGAUCGAAGCCCCGGUAAACGGCGGCCGUAACUAUAACGGUCCUAAGGUAGCGAAAUUCCUUGUCGGGUAAGUUCCGACCUGCACGAAUGGCGUAAUGAUGGCCAGGCUGUCUCCACCCGAGACUCAGUGAAAUUGAACUCGCUGUGAAGAUGCAGUGUACCCGCGGCAAGACGGAAAGACCCCGUGAACCUUUACUAUAGCUUGACACUGAACAUUGAGCCUUGAUGUGUAGGAUAGGUGGGAGGCUUUGAAGUGUGGACGCCAGUCUGCAUGGAGCCGGCCUUGAAAUACCACCCUUUAAUGUUUGAUGUUCUAACGUGGACCCGUGAUCCGGGUUGCGGACAGUGUCUGGUGGGUAGUUUGACUGGGGCGGUCUCCUCCUAAAGAGUAACGGAGGAGCACGAAGGUUGGCUAAUCCUGGUCGGACAUCAGGAGGUUAGUGCAAUGGCAUAAGCCAGCUUGACUGCGAGCGUGACGGCGCGAGCAGGUGCGAAAGCAGGUCAUAGUGAUCCGGUGGUUCUGAAUGGAAGGGCCAUCGCUCAACGGAUAAAAGGUACUCCGGGGAUAACAGGCUGAUACCGCCCAAGAGUUCAUAUCGACGGCGGUGUUUGGCACCUCGAUGUCGGCUCAUCACAUCCUGGGGCUGAAGUAGGUCCCAAGGGUAUGGCUGUUCGCCAUUUAAAGUGGUACGCGAGCUGGGUUUAGAACGUCGUGAGACAGUUCGGUCCCUAUCUGCCGUGGGCGCUGGAGAACUGAGGGGGGCUGCUCCUAGUACGAGAGGACCGGAGUGGACGCAUCACUGGUGUUCGGGUUGUCAUGCCAAUGGCACUGCCCGGUAGCUAAAUGCGGAAGAGAUAAGUGCUGAAAGCAUCUAAGCACGAAACUUGCCCCGAGAUGAGUUCUCCCUGACCCUUUAAGGGUCCUGAAGGAACGUUGAAGACGACGACGUUGAUAGGCCGGGUGUGUAAGCGCAGCGAUGCGUUGAGCUAACCGGUACUAAUGAACCGUGAGGCUUAACCUUACAACGCCGAAG